AUGGAAACACAUUGUGCGUACUGCCUACCUUGUUUUCUCUUCACAAAAAGGCCAAGUGGAAGGUGUGGCUCUGAUGCAUUCACGGUCAAGGGAUUUAAUAAUUGGAAGAAGGUGAAUGAUGGAAACGAAUGUGCUUUCUUAACUCACAUGGGCAAAGAUUCCAACUCCUCUCAUAACUUUUCUCAGCGGUGUCAUGAUAAUCUGAAAAAUAGUUUGACUCACAUCGACAAGGCAAUGGUGAAAGUGUGUGCAAAAAAGGUCGCAGAUGCAAGGCUAAGGCUUAAAGUUACAAUUGAUUGCAUCAAGUAA
rnacentral:rRNA from 1 species